rnacentral:lncRNA from 1 species
UUUCAACUAACCAUCUGUAGAAGAGGCCAAGCUAUGAUGAAGACAUUCCUUAUAUUAUGUGGACAAUGGUGAAGACAUUUCAAGCCAACACAUCUUAGAUCACCUGGAUCUGAGAGCCCAUAGACACACUUGCUGGCAUGGACUAUUUUGGGAAUGGUCUGCUUUGGCCUAGAAGAAACCACCUGAUAGAUGCUGGAUGCACUGGUGGCAU